UACGUAGGGAGCAAGCGUUGUCCGGAAUCAUUGGGCGUAAAGCGCGCGUAGGUGGCCUCAUAAGUCCGUUGUGAAAGUCAAAGGCUCAACCUUUGAACGCCGAUGGAUACUGCCGGGCUAGAGUCCGGAAGAGGCGAGUGGAAUUCCUGGUGUAGCGGUGGAAUGCGCAGAUAUCAGGAGGAACACCAAUAGCGAAGGCAGCUCGCUGGGACGGUACUGACGCUGAGGCGCGAAAGCGUGGGGAGCGAACAGG
rnacentral:rRNA from 1 species